AGAACGAACGCUGGCGGCAUGCCUAAUACAUGCAAGUCGAACGAACUCUUCGGAGUUAGUGGCGCACGGGUGCGUAACGCGUGGGAAUCUGCCCCUUGGUUCGGAAUAACAGUUGGAAACGACUGCUAAUACCGGAUGAUGACGAAAGUCCAAAGAUUUAUCGCCAAGGGAUGAGCCCGCGUAGGAUUAGCUAGUUGGUGAGGUAAAGGCUCACCAAGGCAACGAUCCUUAGCUGGUCUGAGAGGAUGAUCAGCCACACUGGGACUGAGACACGGCCCAGACUCCUACGGGAGGCAGCAGUAGGGAAUAUUGGACAAUGGGCGAAAGCCUGAUCCAGCAAUGCGCGUGAUGAUGAAGGCCUUAGGUGUAAAGCUCUUUUACCCGGGAAGAUAAUGAACUGUACCGGGAGAAUAAGACUCCGGCUAAACUCCGUGCCAGCAGCCG
rnacentral:rRNA from 1 species